CUUACUUUAUCUAAAUUCUCUUCCCGUCACUUGCAACUGAAAGAGCUCAACAGCAGAAAUUAUAGUGAGAACAAUUGUGGAGCCUCAGCCUGGUUUGGGAUUUCUCUUGAUUGUCUACAGGUUUUUUAAUUACAAGGGAACAAAAUCAAAAGAAAGAACACUAAUUAAUCACUAGGACGACUUAUUUAUUACUGAUGCAAUGUCUGGAAAAAUCAAUUUAUUGCAAAUGUUUCCCGCAGGUUUGCAGGUUUUAGGCAAUUAACAAAAGCUGCUGUAAUUCACACAAAGAGAAUAUUCACUGUGUUGCCAAUAACUCAUUUUGAUAAAUUCGGCCCUGAUUGUCUUGAAUUUUGUGAGAAGUGUGACUUUAAAACUGCCGAGUGGCACAGGCACUAUUUCCAGCAAUGAUCCAUUGAUCUAGAAGCUGAUCACAUAUAGCAUCUACAGGGUGUCAGGGCAACUUCAUGUGUAAGUGAUUCCUUUGGGAGUUGGGUUCUUGUUAAUUAAACAUGAUGAUAUGGAUAUUGGAAAACAGAAACAGCACAUCUUGCAGGAAAUAAAGUUUUUAAAAAAACUCACCACUCUUGAACCUGGUCCUGAACUGUAUAGGGACCAUGGCUGGGCCCUCUUUUUUUUUUUUUUUUCAAUCCUCCUCUUUUUGCUGAGGAAGACUGGCCCUGAGCUAACAUCCGUGCCCAUCUUCCUCUACUUUAUACGUGGGAUGCCUACCACAGCAUGGGUUGCCAAGCGGUGCCACGUCCGCACCCGGGAUCCGAACUGGCAAACCCCAGGCCACCGAAGCAGAAUGUGCGAACUUAACUGCUGUACCACCGGGCAGCCCCUGGGCCCUCUUAUACGUUGCACCAGAGACCUGCACUGGUCCUCAUGCGCAGCUACAUCUCCAGCACCAAGCCCCCUGCAGCCUUGGCUUCUCCAGCAAACAGAGCUCCCAGGUGUCUCUUCUUGGAGGAUGCCCCAGCCAGCCUGCUCCACCUGCCCUGGCCAGGUGGUACAAUAUCCCCCAGCUCUGCCUGCAAGCGGAAUAUGCCCAUUUGUGUAGUUUAGGGCUUGGAAUUAGGCAGAUAACCUUGCUCCCCAAAGAUCCUGCUCCUGUGACCCAGCCUCUCGCAACCCUUGUCCUGUUCCUGGUCCUUGGCUUCCCUGAACUGUAUUGUAGGUGCAUGCACAGUACACACCCCUACAGUAGGCUGCCUGCCCUCCAGGCCUGUGGACCAGGGUUACACUCAACCACCUGCACAGCCUUCAGGGUGGAGGGAGCCCACCCCUCGAAAAUCACUGUCAGGCAGCAGCGGCAAAUUACAGACUGACAGUUCCAUUUGGACUUGCUGCCUGGAUCCGGUCCUGGGCUUCUCUAGCAACCAGGGCUCCCAGGAACUGCACGGCUCGCGCAUGCGCAGAACGCAUCCCAUCAGCCGGCCUACAGCAGCUGCGGUCCUCCCGGCCUAUGGAGCUAGUUUCGAACCCAAACACCAGCAUAGGCUCCAGCGGGGAGGGAGCCCACCCUGCAAAUAUCACUCUGAGGCGGCAGUGGCAAAUUGCUCACAGUCAGUCGCCAUUUGGACUUUCUGCCUGAUGGAGAUCUGGCCUUCUCCAGGAACAAGGGUUCCAGGUGUCUCUUAUUCUAAGACGCUCUUGUCCCACCGAGCAAGGCUUCAGGGGUCUUGAGAUAUCUGGCUUCAGGGGGAUGUCCUCCUUUUUAUAGGUAGGGCAUUGGACAUUGCUUUGUUUCCCAUAAUAGCACUUCAUAGUGACCUGCCGUUCCUGAGCCGGGCCUGUCUCCAUGCGGGCCCCAAGUCUAGGACCUGUUUCCUCUUGCUCCAGGGGGAUAUUCGGGACCUGCAAGUGCAGUUAACCCUCCUGCAUCAAGCCCCAAGUAGCCGCAGCCUCUCCAGCAACCAGGGCUCCUAGGUGUGUCUUAUUGGAGGACACUCUGGGCAGCCCGCCCGGCCCUGGCAAGGCGGUGGGUCCCCUCCAAGUGGCCUUCAGUGGAUGAUGGGCGCCAUUGUCUGGUUAGGGGUUACAAUUAGGCAGACAUCUCGUUCCCCUAGAGCCUGCAUCGUGUGGUCAGCCCUUCCUGGACCCGGGGCCUUUUUCCAGAUCCCCACCUACCCUGAAGAGCUCUGCAGGUGUAGGCGCAGUAGGCACCCCUUCAGCAGGCGUUGGGUCUACAGGCUUGUGGAGCUAGGGCGGGCCCUAACCGCCUGCAUAUUCUCCCAGGUGGAGGGAAACGCCACAUGCCCACACACACACAAAAACAGCGUGAGGAGGCAGCUACAAAUUG
ensembl:lncRNA